UUUCUAUCUGGAGGUUCCUCCUUCUGUUGUACUUGUUGAGCCCUGAUCCUUGGGACAGUGGAUGAUGCUUGGAGUCCUUUAGAAGACUUUAACAUGGUUUUGGAAAGGAAGAGCUGGAGGAGAUUCAGCCAUAAAAAGCUGGAUGGAGGCUGAAGAGUGCAACGUGCCUGGGAACUGUGAGACAGGAUCAGCAGCCAGCUUUGAUCAGGGAAGAUGAAUUUGAGAGCAGAUUCUUUCAUAGCAACUCAGAACAGGGAUUUGGCACCUCCCGAUGAAUUGGGGGAGACGGACUUUUGCUGUGACCCAUUCCAUGAUCACAGUUCACUUGUGAUCCUUUGUAUUGAGUUAUGCUGCAUGUUGGCAGCAGUUCUUGUCCUUAAAAGAACACAACCAAAAUAAAGAUCAGUUGCCUUGCCUUUUUAACUGUAACUAAUUGCUAAUGUUGUUACAGUGGAAAGAAUACUUUAAAACUGAGUUGGACCUUUGUAUUUUAAUUGACUGACUUUUGUGUUUCACCUGGCUUGCUCAGAAAUCAGAAUUGACUUUGCUUACUUUUUCUGUUCAGAAUCACUUUCUGGCUGUUUGCCCAGACCAGAAGAGCCCCAGGCUCUUCAAUACUGAAUGCAGACUGAAAGUGGGGCCAAACUAUUCUCUAAAAUGUUCUGCUUUGAAUAAAGAGAUGGCUGUAAUUGACUGAAGUUUUCUUUUACUCUUCCAUAAACUGGAAAAUGUAACCCCAUGUCACUGGAGAAUCAUGAAUUUUUGUCAGUGGGCAGUUUUGUUAAUGGUGAGUCAUGAUUUAAAAAAAAAAAAGGAGGAAAUUAAGAAUUCUUGUUAGUAUUUUGAAAACAAAUGCCCAUCUGAACAUUUUGGUUCUGCAAAGUUGUAUAUGUGCCUGCCAUGCUGGGUCUCAAGGUUGAAGUGGCUUUUCCAGCUGAGCACCCUGCCCAUGCACAGUACAUUAGAAUCACAGAAUUAAUACAGCUGGGAGAGACCUCUAAGAUUACCAAGUCCAACCUCACCCCCCAGCAUGCCCACUAAAAUGUCCACCUGAGCCACAUUUCUUGAACACCUCCAAGGACAGUCACUCCAUCACUUCCCUGAGCAGCCUGUGCCAAUGCCUCAGCACUCAGAAGAAAUUUUUCCCCAUGUUCAACCUGAAAAGCAUUUCUUUGAUGAAUCAUGCUGGUUGUACUUGUCUUUUUCCUGUUAAAUGAAGAGAGAGUGCUUUGGCUCAGAGCUCAUUCAGGAAAGAAAGAAGUGUUUGAUCAUGUUUGU
ensembl:lncRNA